GACGAACGCUGGCGGCAUGCUUAACACAUGCAAGUCGUACGGAAAACCCCUGCUAUUGUGGUGUGCGCGAGUGGCGGACGAGUGAGUAACAAGUGCCUACCCUGCGCUGGACUAUGAGAUAACGUCAGGGAACUGGGUAUAAUACCGGAUAGGAACUCCUACUGGAUGGCGGGGCGUGGAAAGUUUCGGCGGUUGUGGAUUGGCUCGUGGCUUAUCAGCUUACUGUUGGGGUAGUCGCUUGCCGAGGCGUUGACGGGUAGCAGGCCUGUGAGGGUGACCGGCCACAUUGGGACUGAGAUACGGCCGAGCCUCCUACGGGAGGCAGCAGUGGGGAGUAUUGCACAAUGGGCGGAAGCCUGAUGCAGCAACGACGCGUGCGGGAUGACGGCCUUCGGGUUGUAAACCGCUUUCGCCUGUGACGAAGCGUGAGUGACGGUAAUGGGUAAAGAAGCACCGGCUAACUACGUG
rnacentral:rRNA from 1 species